CUUGAUGGAGCCGAGCCAGAGCGGCUGGUCGUCGGUGCGGUGCUGGCCGUAGGUCGCGAGCAGGGCCUGGGCCUC
rnacentral:antisense_RNA from 1 species